GCGGGUGUGGUGGAAGUGGUACCACGCUGGGCUCAUGACCCAGCGGAGCCGUUCGACUCGGACACCCGCC
rnacentral:tRNA from 1 species